GGCAAAGGGAAUAAGAACUUGGCCACAGCCUCUAGGGGUACCUGGCAUGUCACUGUUGGCCAGUGGGCCAAGCACUCCCUAAUCCCAGCCCACUGCCCACCCCACCACAUAGGGAUCUUUGAAACCCCAGGGUCUGUGAGUUCUCCAGGGCAGCAAACCCCCACCCCCUUCCCCUGGCCACCCUCCCCCAUCCUGGGACAGGCUCUGCAGGGCUGACUCAGGGUCCUGCAGAGUUAGUCACAUUCACUUAUAGCUGCAGAGUCAGAGGCCAGGGAUGGGGAUCGGGUCUCCAAGGCCCGCCCCCUACUGGGCAGGACAUUUGUCAUCUGGCAAAGGGCAUAGGCACCCAAGCGGGGCAGGAUCUGGAGGCUCCCCAGGCCCUCUGUGGCCUCUCCUCAACAAGGACAGCAGGUGGUAAGAUGUGGCCACACUCCUGUGCCCCUGGCCCCAGGGAAGGGGGAGAAGGUAUGUGUGGCUGAGGACCCUAAAUAAAUUCCAUGUGUAUUUAUUUUUCAGUUGUGAGCUAUAUCAUCCAUGCUGAAGAGUGCAUAAAAUGUAUUUAUUUAAUUGAAAGAAUUCCUUUAUAGUGAAAGCCUGUGUAACCAUUACGCAGGACAGGAAUCAAGACCUCAUUAGUGGCCCUGAGCUCCAAUCACAUACAUCCCCGUCGCUGCCCCCAGAGGCCAGCACUCUCCUGACUCUCCCUGUCUUCUUUUGUAGAGAUGCCCCUUGAAGAAGAGAGCUGGUGCCGCCUGUGUGUGAAUUGAACACGAGUGGGAAUCACACCACUCUGUGUGUCCAGCUCCUUUUGCUCCCCAUUAUGUCUGUUAGAUCACCCGUGUAGCUGAAGCUUUUAUUCUAGUUUUGGUUUCUAGGUGCAGAGACACUGCACAGUUAAUUAUGGAUCCCCUUGUUGAGGGAGGGCUGCUUUCUCCAGAUUUGGCGACUGCAGACAACACUGCUGUCAGCAUUGGCAUGUGUGUCUCCUGGGGUGCAGGUGUGAGGGUUUCUGGGGUGGGCCAUAGAGUUUGAACAUUUUCAACUUGACCAGAUGCUCACCCACUUUUGUCCAAAGAGAAUGCUCCCAUCUACACUCCCACCAGCAAUGGGUGUUCUCGUUCCUCCCCCUCCUCCCUAACACAUGUUAUUUUCAGGGUUAUUAAAUCAUCACCAGUCUUAACGUUUUACUGGAUGAAUGACUCAAUGACUAGCAAUUUGGUCCUGCCUGCCUCAUUUUCCCCAUGGCAUGUACGUGUCCAUGCCAUGCCCUGCUUUGAAGCCUCUAGAAGUCUCAGAGUGCUGUCCUCCUCCAAGUUCUCUUCCAGAUCUUCCUUACGACUUUAUUCCACCCUCAAGGGCUAGGUGGGGGAUUCUCACGGUGCUGUCUUUAGCAGAGAGGGAGACCAAGGGCCAGGCCAGGGGUUGGGGAGGCUGGGUGACCAGGGGACUUAGUUUCCCUUCCUGGGGUCCCAUUGCCCUAAGAUCCUCCUCCAAUCAUCCCCGCCUCAGGCAUCCCAAUGCCCUCCUUUUCUUGGCCCUCAACCUCACACAGCACAGGUGAAGCUCCUUGGGAACGUGAGGACCAGGGAAUUGUGGGAAUUCCCUGGCAACAAAGCAGGGAGUGCUCUCUGGGGAAGCCUGUUUCAGGCUGUCUGGACCCCAGCACCCAAGCUGAGAAGCCUUGAGCACAAGGGCCCCACAGAAGCCAAACAUGCAGAGCUUGAUCUGGGUUUAUUCUCCAGAUGAAAGCUCUUGUUCCCAAAUGCCCUGACCCCUGGCACAGGCUCCCGGCAAGUCCCAUCUCACCCAUCUGUACCCUCCUCCCAUCUGGGCACCAGAACCCCAGCUACUGAGAUCCAAUCAGGGUGAUGGACAAGGUCCCGUGCUCCUCAAGGGACCCUUACAGUUCCUCCCCCAGAGCUAUUCCUGGCUUAGGCUCCUCCCACGCUCUGGUCCCCCUGCCUGACCUGACCCCACAGCUGGGAAUCACUUGCUUGGGGGUGGGGCAGCCCCCCUGACUAUAUAUGCCUGGACCUAGGUGUCCCAGGCACCCUGGAAGCACAGACCCUCCACUGCUAAUCCCUGCACACUCCAGCCUGACCCCUCAGCCAGCCCCAGCAAUGACAGGAAAAGCCACCUUGGAGGCCCCCGACUGUGGUCCAGAGGAGACUGCCUCUGAAUCUGCAAAUGUGCCCGCCACAGAGCCCUCUGGAGAAGUGGCAGCUCCGAAGUCUACGGGGGAAGAGCAGACUCCCAAGCCACAGGAACCUGCCCCUCAUGUACCUGCCCCCGAUGCCCCAGCAGCCAGUAAACCAGCACCUCGGAGUGAAGAUGUCCCCAGUGCCCCGCUGCUGCUGGCCGUGGAGGACGUGGGUGAUAGCUCGGUGACUGUGAGCUGGGAGCCCCCGGAGUGGCUAGGGAAGCUGGGUUUCCAGGGCUACGUGCUGGAACUCCGCCGAGAGGGAGCCUUGGAGUGGGUGCCUGUGAACACCCGGCCCAUGAUGGUGACCCAGCAGACCGUGCGGAACCUGGCUCUGGGUGACAAGUUCUUCGUGCGUGUGACUGCGGUGAGCUCUGCAGGGGCUGGCCCACCGGCUGUGCUGGAUCAGCCUGUCCACAUCCAAGAGACCAUUGAGGCCCCCAAGAUCCGUGUUCCCCGCCACCUUCGUCAGACCUAUAUCCGUCAGGUGGGAGAAGCAAUUAACCUGCAAAUCCCCUUCCAGGGGAAUCCCACGCCUCGGGCCUCAUGGACCCAUAAUGGCCACGCCCUGGACAGCCAGCGGGUGAACGUGCGCACUGGGGACCAGGACUCCAUCCUCUUCAUCCGCUCAGCCCAGCGCUCGGACUCAGGCUGCUACGAGCUCACCGUCCAGCUGGAAGGCCUGGAGGCUAAGGCAGCCAUUGACAUCCUGGUGAUUGAGAAACCCGGAUCCCCCAGCAGCAUCAGGCUACUGGACGUCUGGGGCUGCAAUGCUGCCCUUGAGUGGACACCACCCCAGGACACAGGCAACACAGAGCUCCUGGGCUACACAGUGCAGAAGGCAGACAAAAAGACAGGGCAAUGGUUCACGGUGCUGGAGCGCUACCACCCGACCACCUGCACCAUCUCUGACCUCAUCGUGGGCAACUCUUACUCCUUCCGGGUCUUCUCGGAAAACCUGUGUGGACUCAGUGACUCGGCCGCUGUCACCAAAGAGCUCGCCCAUAUCCAGAAGACAGAUAUUGUUGCCAAACCUAAAAGCUUUGUUGAGCGAGACUUCUCAGAAGCCCCUUCAUUCACCCAACCCCUGGCUGACCACAUCUCUACCCCUGGCUACAGUACUCAGCUCUUCUGCAGUGUCCGAGCAUCACCCAAGCCCAAGAUCAUCUGGAUGAAAAACAAGAUGAACAUCCAGGGUGACCCCAAAUACCGGGCCAUCUCUGAGCAAGGUGUCUGUACCCUGGAGAUCCGGAAACCCAGCCCCUUCGAUUCCGGGGUCUAUACCUGCAAGGCCAUCAAUGUGCUGGGGGAGGCAUCUGUGGACUGCCGGCUGGAGGUCAAAGGUGAGGGCUUGAGGGGGGAUGCUCCUUAGAAACCCUCCCAUGGAUGGGAGAACAGGAGAAGCCACCUCUUCUGGUGGCCUAGAGCACUGGGCUGAGCCCUGAAAAUCAAGGCAAGACAGGGAGCAGUAAAGAUUGAGGUCGGGCGGUCAGAAGGACUUUCCACGAGGAAGGAGGGCUCAGUGUGGGGAAAGGAGGUGGUAGAGUCCACCUUGUGGACAGACGGAUCCUUGGGGUGAGGGUGUGAGCCUCACUCACCCCCCUUCAGCCCCCUCCCCUGCUCAGGUCCCCAGCAGACACCCAUCCCCUCUGGAGCUCUAACCUUUGGGUCUCUCCCAGCCUCAGCCACACACUGAAGAGCCCCUGGAGGAGGCCGUGAUGAGGAGAAAGGUGCUGCAGGCCUGAGGGGUCAGGGCAGCCGGGCCUAGAAUCAAGCUCCACGGAUACCACAGAUUCCCGUUUCCACAGUGACAGCUGAUGGCUUUGCUCCUUGGUACCUGCCAGCCCCCUUCCUCCCCCAAGAGUGGGCCUAGCAGGUCUCAGGCCAGGCUUCCUGGACACAAGGGGCCCCAGAAGGUGCUAAGAUUGGAGCACUGCUGCAGAGAGUAGUGCGCUGGGCGUGAAGCACUUGAAUAAAGGUGUGUGGUGUUACAGUACAGGGGCCUCUGUGACAGUGAGCAUCAUCCGUGUGGGCACGGCCCUGUGUCACCAUGAGGGGGAUGUUGAAUGUGUCACUACGAGGGGGUCUCCACCUAUGACACCACGAGGAAGGUGCUGGAGGGAGGGAACGCAAGCCGUUAUGGGUGUUUGCCGGGUAUGAGAUUUUUUAGGAUCUCCUUUCACAUUUAGGGUUUGCUCCCCUAAGAGGAUAACUAUAGGAACAGACAUGGCCUUCUCUGGAACACUCCUUGCUCCAAUCACCCCCACAUCCUACCUCUCUUCACUUCUCCUCCAUCCCUCAUCAUUGCUUCUUUUCUGCCGAAGCUGUCUGCAGCCCUUGGACAGUGGUAGCUACGUUCUCCAGGAGGCUUCACAAUCUUUUAUUAGUCAGGGGGCCAGGGGACAUCCCACAUCUGAGAGAAGAAAGGGCCUGAAAGCAAGGCCUAGAGUUGCUAUUCACACUUGGAACCUGGCCCCUCUCCCCUCUGAUAAGGGGCUCUGGACUUGGCAGGGAGUGAACCCUUCCCCAAGGGUCUAGGCUAAAGGCCUAGAAAGCCCAUGAAAACUGUGCUAAGUUCCAGGGCUACUGAGGGAACGUAAAUGCUGGCAAGACUUUCCUGUCCACACACUCAGGAGGCUAGUCUCCUCUGGCCUGACUAGCCUGUCUCACUUCAUCCCAGACUGUCCACGGCAGCCUGCUUUCCCUCAUCCAUCUCGUCCCCUGGCAGGCAGAAUGCUCCCCAAAGCUGGCAUGUCUGGAGUUCUCCUCACCAUCUGGCCCAGAAGCAGCAGAGAUGGGUGUCACGUAGGAGGGUACAGGCCCAUCAUCAGGGGCUGGUGGAGCUGGUGGCCCGGAUGACAGGCUCCACCAGGCUCCCACUUAGGACGCUCAGGCAAGAAUGAGGGCUCAAUGCUGCCACCUAGUGGCUCCUUGAGGUCCACAUCUACCAUUCCACACUAGCGCUGGGGCUUGGAGCUGCCACUCAGGUCCCAAGGGCUAGUGGAGAAUAAAACAAAUAUUGGCAA